AGUUUGAUCCUGGCUCAGAGCGAACGCUGGCGGCAGGCUUAACACAUGCAAGUCGAACGGGCGUAGCAAUACGUCAGUGGCAGACGGGUGAGUAACGCGUGGGAACGUACCUUUUGGUUCGGAACAACACAGGGAAACUUGUGCUAAUACCGGAUAAGCCCUUACGGGGAAAGAUUUAUCGCCGAAAGAUCGGCCCGCGUCUGAUUAGCUAGUUGGUGAGGUAACGGCUCACCAAGGCGACGAUGCGUAGCCGACCUGAGAGGGUGAUCGGCCACAUUGGGACUGAGACACGGCCCAGACUCCUACGGGAGGCAGCAGUGGGGAAUAUUGCACAAUGGGGGAAACCCUGAUGCAGCAACGCCGCGUGAGUGAUGACGGCCUUCGGGUUGUAAAGCUCUGUCUUCAGGGACGAUAAUGACGGUACCUGAGGAGGAAGCCACGGCUAACUACGUGCCAGCAGCCGCGGUAAUAAGC
rnacentral:rRNA from 1 species